ACAUCAUCUCAGUAGAAGCAGUCCAUCAGUGGCACUCAGCAAUGUUGAGCAGGUGCAGACACCAACAAGUGACAUCAUUCCAGUAGAAGCAGCCCAUCAGUGGCACCCAGCAAUGCUGAACAGGUGCAGACACCAAGUGACAUCAUUUCAGUAGAAGCAGUCCAUCAGUGGCACCCAGCAAUGUUGAGCAGAUGCAGAGAGCAACAAGUGACGUCAUUUCAGUAGAAGCAGUUCCAUCAGUGGCACCCAGCAAUGUUGAACUGGUGCAGACACCAACAAGUGACAUCAUCUCAGUAGAAGCAGUCCAUCAGUGGCACCCAGCAAUGUUGAGCAGGUGCAAACACCAACAAGUGACAUCAUUGUAGUAGAAGCAGUCCAACAGUGGCACCCAGCAAUGUUGAGCAGGUGCAGACACCAACAAGUGACAUCAUCUCAGUAGAAGCAGUUCCAUCAGUGGCA